UAUCGGAGAGUAAUUUCUCUUUCUUUAGUCACCUUACCACCACUGAAAAAGCUAGACGGUUGUGGGUAU
rnacentral:lncRNA from 1 species